rnacentral:rRNA from 1 species
AUACGGAGGGUGCAAGCGUUGUUCGGAAUUAUUGGGCGUAAAGCGCGUGUAGGCGGUCUGUUAAGUCUGGUGUGAAAGCCCUGGGCUCAACCCAGGAAGUGCAUUGGAUACUGGCGGACUUGAGUAUGGGAGAGGAAAGCGGAAUUCCGAGUGUAGGAGUGAAAUCCGUAGAUAUUCGGAGGAACACCAGUGGCGAAGGCGGCUUUCUGGACCAAUACUGACGCUGAGACGCGAAAGCGUGGGGAGCAAACAGGAUUAGAAACCCUAGUAGUCC